rnacentral:rRNA from 1 species
AUUGAACGCUGGCGGCAGGCCUAACACAUGCAAGUCGAGCGGUAGAGAGGUGCUUGCACCUCUUGAGAGUGGCGGACGGGUGAGUAAAGCCUAGGAAUCUGCCUGGUAGUGGGGGAUAACGCUCGGAGACGGACGCUAAUACCGCAUACGUCCUACGGGAGAAAGCAGGGGGACCUUCGGGCCUUGCGCUAUCAGAUGAG